UUUUGCUAAUCAUUUUCUCUUCUGAUUCCGGCGACGAUUACCGGGGAAUGUUUCCCGAUGACGGUCUGGUUUCUUUAAAGAGAUAAGUCCAUGCUUCCGAGUAAUUGGCUAGGUGAAGAAUUAUCCUUUCUCUGAAGUGCAGUAUGAUUGCACCAACUGCAAGGCAUGAGAGCUGAUUGCUUUGAUCUACCAAAAUCUUUAUAAAGAGCUGAAAAGCUGAUAUAUUCCAGCUGGUUUCCUUGUUGUGCACAAGAUGGCGUGUGAAGAAAUUCUGAAGGCUGUAUUCCCAUUUCUGGAGGGCAUUGAACUGGCUACAUGUAUGAUAGUGUGCAAACAGUGGCGAGAUAUUGCACGAGAUGAUUACUUCUGGAAAUGUCUUUGUUCUAAAAAAUGGCCAUCUAUUUGCAAACGGUCAUCACCUCCCACUGUAACAUACUAUAAUCUAUUUCAGAACUUCCAUAAACGUCCAUACCGCCGGACUGUUCUCCCUCCUAAACUUUCCUUCAGUGACUUAGAGUUCUACAUUGACAUAUGGACUGAAGAGAACAUAAUAUUUUCAGAUGUGGUCCCAGGGCCUGUUCUUCAGAAGGGAAUCUGGAUCCCACCUCCCGGAAUCUGUGAUGUGCUUAGGUUCCACUUGGAAGGGCCUGAAUACAAGAUGACUCUACCUGUGGAACCAAGAUUUACAAUUCCUUUGUGCCAGACAGUCAGCGUCUCUGUGCUUGUUGGGCGCAAAGAUACAAAUAAAGUUGCAUGCAUUAUCAAGAAGUCCCUUUUUGAUUAUAUAGAUCGAACAGCAUAUCGGGCUUUAGCUUAUGACUAUCUUGACUUCUCCUCUCCCAUG
rnacentral:misc_RNA from 1 species